rnacentral:rRNA from 1 species
GACGAACUGUGCGAACGUUGUUCGGAAUCACUGGGCUUAAAGGGUGCGUAGGCGGCUUGUUAAGUCGGGGGUGAAAUCCUGGAGCUCAACUCCAGAACUGCCUUUGAUACUGAAGAUCUUGAGUUCGGGAGAGGUGAGUGGAACUGCGAGUGUAGAGGUGAAAUUCGUAGAUAUUCGCAAGAACACCAGUGGCGAAGGCGGCUCAUUGGCCCGAUACUGACGCUGAGGCACGAAAGCGUGGGGAGCAAACAGG